rnacentral:misc_RNA from 1 species
CCGCAGCGCAACGCGUUACGCCCGCACCGCCUCGAUCCGAAAGCGGCCGGCGCCACCUUGUCCCAGCGGCUUUUCGAGUUCGUGCAGGAUCGCCUUCAACUCCGCGGCGAGAGUCCACGGCGGAUUUACGAUUAGCAAGCCGGCGGGCACNNNNNNNNNNNGAGUCGGCCGUCUGCGGUGCGACGCUGAAUUCGACGCGCAGGCAUUUGGCGUCGCUGCUACCGGCGUUCGCCACGCGCGCCACAUGUUCCGCCAGCGAGUCGGUCGCGCGGCGUUCUUUCACCGGAUACCAGAGCAUGU